CCUACGGGUGGCAGCAGUGAGGAAUAUUGGUCAAUGGGCGCGAGCCUGAUCCAGCCAUGUAGCGUGAAGGAUGACUGCCCUCCGGGUUGUAAACUCUUUUUAUAAGGGAAUAAAGUGAGGCACGUGUGCCUUUUUCUACGUACUUUAUGAAUAAGGAUAGGCUAACUCCGUGCCAGCAGCCGCGGUAAUACGGAGGAUCCGAGCGUUAUCCGGAUUUAUUGGGUUUAAAGGGAGCGUAGAUGGGUUGUUAAGUCAGUUGUGAAAGUUUGCGGCUCAACCGUAAAAGUGCAAUUGAUACUGGCAGUCUUGAGUACAGUAGAGGUAGGCGGAAUUCGUGGUGUAGCGGUGAAAUGCUUAGAUAUGAGGAAGAACUCCGAUUGCGAAGGCAGCUUACUAAACUGCCACUGACAUUGAUGCUCGAAAGUGUGGGUAGCAAACAGGAUUAGAUACCCCUGUAGUC
rnacentral:rRNA from 1 species